rnacentral:rRNA from 1 species
UAAUUUGGGGGUUAAAGUAUUUUAUAAAGAAAAAAUUUUUUAUUUUAUAGUAUAUUAGUAUUGUGAAAGAAUUAUGAAAUAAUUGAAAAUAAAUUUAUUUAAAAGUAAAUUUAGUUUAUUGUAUCUUGUGUAUCAGAGUUUAUUAAAAAUUUUUAAUAUUUUAUUUAAUUUCUCGAAUUUAAAAGAGUUAAAUAAUUAUUAAAGUUAAUGUAGUAAAAUUAUUUUAAAUAAUUAUUUAGAAAUGAAAUGUUAAUCGUUUUUAAAUAUAUCUAGUUUUUUUAGAAAAAAAUUUAAUUUUAAAUUUUUUUUUUUAUUAUUUUAUUUAUUAAUAAAUAAUUAAUAGUAAUUAAAUUUAAUAUUUUAAGGGAUAAGCUUUAAAAUUAAAUUUUUAUAAUAAAUUAAAUUAUUAUUUUGAAAAUUUUAUAAUUUAUAUUGUUAAAAAAUUUUAAUUUUUUAUAAAUAAUUUCAUAAUUAAAAAUAAAAUUUAAUUAAAAAUUUAAAUUUUUAUAAAAAAAAAUAUUAUAAUUAGUUAAAUUUAAUUAUAAUGAUAAAAUUAGUAUAUUAUAAUAAUAAUAUUUUUAAUUUAAAAUUAAAAUUAUUAAUUAAAUUAAUUAAAAGGAAUUCGGCAAAUAUUUAUUUUCACUUGUUUAUCAAAAACAUGUCUUUUAGUAUUUUAUUUAAAGUCUAAUCUGCCCACUGAUUAAUAAAUUAAAGGGCUGCAGUAUUUUGACUGUACAAAGGUAGCAUAAUAAUUAGUCUCUUAAUUGGUGACUUGUAUGAAAGAUUGGAUGAGAAAUAUACUGUCUCUUAAUUAAUUUAUAGAAUUUAAUUUUUUAUUUAAAAAGUUAAAAUAUUUUAAAAAGACGAGAAGACCCUAUAGAGUUUUAUAUUUAAAUUUAUAAUAAAUUAUUUAUAUUAAUUAUAAUUUUUAUUAGUUUAAAUAUUUUGUUGGGGUGAUGAAAAAAUAAAUUUAACUUUUUUUUAAAAAUUUAACAUAAAUAAUUGAUUAUUUGAUCCAAUUUUAUUGAUUAUAAGAUUAAAUUACCUUAGGGAUAACAGCGUAAUUUUUUUUUUUAGUUCAAAUAAGAAAAAGAGUUUGCGACCUCGAUGUUGGAUUAAGAUAAAAUUUAAAUGCAAAAGUUUAAAAUUUUUGAUCUGUUCGAUCAUUAAAAUCUUACAUGAUCUGAGUUCAAACCGGUGUGAGCCAGGUUGGUUUCUAUCUUUUAAAUAUUUAAAUAUUUUAGUACGAAAGGAUCAAAUAUUUUAAUUAAAUUAUAAAUUUUGAAUUUUAUUAAAAUAAAAUA